rnacentral:rRNA from 1 species
CAGGCGGGGAUGCUAAUACAUGCAGUCGAGCGCAGGAAGCAAGUUGAUCCCCUUCGGGGGUGACGCUUGUGGAAUGAGCGGCGGACGGGUGAGUAACACGUGGGCAACCUGCCUGUAAGACUGGGAUAACCCCGGGAAACCGGGGCUAAUACCGGAUAAUACUUUCUUUUGCAUAAAGGAAAGUUGAAAGGCGGCUUCGGCUGUCACUUACAGAUGGGCCCGCGGCGCAUUAGCUAGUUGGUGAGGUAACGGCUCACCAAGGCGACGAUGCGUAGCCGACCUGAGAGGGUGAUCGGCCACACUGGGACUGAGACACGGCCCAGACUCCUACGGGAGGCAGCAGUAGGGAAUCUUCCGCAAUGGACGAAAGUCUGACGGAGCAACGCCGCGUGAGUGAUGAAGGUUUUCGGAUCGUAAAACUCUGUUGUUAGGGAAGAACAAGUUGGGUAGUAACUGACCCAACCUUGACGGUACCUAACCAGAAAGCCACGGCUAACUACGUGCCAGCAGCCGCGGUAAUACGUAGGUGGCAAGCGUUGUCCGGAAUUAUUGGGCGUAAAGCGCUCGCAGGCGGUCCUUUAAGUCUGAUGUGAAAUCUCGCGGCUCAACCGCGAACGGUCAUUGGAAACUGGAGGACUUGAGUACAGAAGAGGAGAGUGGAAUUCCACGUGUAGCGGUGAAAUGCGUAGAGAUGUGGAGGAACACCAGUGGCGAAGGCGACUCUCUGGUCUGUAACUGACGCUGAGGAGCGAAAGCGUGGGGAGCGAACAGGAUUAGAUACCCUGGUAGUCCACGCCGUA